rnacentral:tRNA from 1 species
GCCUUGAUGGUGAAAUGGUAGACAUGCGAGACUCAAAAUCUCGUGGUGAAGAGCAUGGAGGUUCGAGUCCUCUUCAAGGCA